rnacentral:rRNA from 1 species
UCCCAGACUCCUACGGGAGGCAGCAGUGGGGAAUAUUGCACAAUGGGGGAAACCCUGAUGCAGCGACGCCGCGUGAAGGAAGAAGUAUUUCGGUAUGUAAACUUCUAUCAGCAGGGAAGAAAAUGACGGUACCUGACUAAGAAGCCCCGGCUAACUACGUGCCAGCAGCCGCGGUAAUACGUAGGGGGCAAGCGUUAUCCGGAUUUACUGGGUGUAAAGGGAGCGUAGGCGGUUUAGCAAGUCAGAAGUGAAAGCCCGGGGCUCAACUCCGGGACUGCUUUUGAAACUGUUGAACUAGACUGCAGGAGAGGUAAGUGGAAUUCCUAGUGUAGCGGUGAAAUGCGUAGAUAUUAGGAGGAACACCAGUGGCGAAGGCGGCCUGCUGGACGAUGACUGACGUUGAGGCUCGAAAGCGUGGGGAGCAAACAGGAUUAGAUACCCCCGUACC